rnacentral:misc_RNA from 1 species
UUUCCGUAAGUGAACCUGCGGAAGGAUCAUUCAUAAUAAAGUGUUUUAUGGCACUUUUUAAAAAUCCAUAUCCACCUUGUGUGCAAUGUUAGAUCUCGUCAAUCUUGGCGAGAUUUUUAUACAUCAACUCAUUCUUUAACUAAUUUGUCUGAAAAAUAUUAUGAAUACUUAAUUCAAAAUACUACUUUCAACAACGGAUCUCUUGGCUCUC